rnacentral:rRNA from 1 species
UGGGGAAUAUUGGACAAUGGGCGAAAGCCUGAUCCAGCCAUGCCGCGUGUGUGAAGAAGGCCUUUUGGUUGUAAAGCACUUUAAGCGAGGAGGAGGAGCUUCAGGUUAAUACCCUGGAUGCUUGGACGUUACUCGCAGAAUAAGCACCGGCUAACUCUGUGCCAGCAGCCGCGGUAAUACAGAGGGUGCAAGCGUUAAUCGGGUUUACUGGGCGUAAAGCGUGCGUAGGCGGUCUGUCAAGUCGGAUGUGAAAUCCCCGGGCUCAACCUGGGAACUGCAUUCGAAACUGGCAGGCUAGAGUCUUGUAGAGGGGGGUAGAAUUCCAGGUGUAGCGGUGAAAUGCUUAGAUAUCACGAAGAACUCCGAUUGCGAAGGCAGCUUACGGGAGCACAACUGACGC